GAUGAACGCUAGCUACAGGCUUAACACAUGCAAGUCGAGGGGAAACGGCAUUUAGUGCUUGCACUGAAUGGACGUCGACCGGCGCACGGGUGAGUAACGCGUAUCCAACCUACCCAUUACUGUGGGAUAACCUGCCGAAAGGCAGACUAAUACCGCAUAGUCUUCGAUGACGGCAUCAGAUUUGAAGUAAAGAUUUAUCGGUAAUGGAUGGGGAUGCGUCUGAUUAGCUUGUUGGCGGGGUAACGGCCCACCAAGGCGACGAUCAGUAGGGGUUCUGAGAGGAAGGUCCCCCACAUUGGAGCUGAGACACGGUCCAAACUCCUACGGGAGGCAGCAGUGAGGAAUAUUGGUCAAUGGGCGCGAGCCUGAACCAGCCAAGUAGCGUGCAGGAUGACGGCCCUAUGGGUUGUAAACUGCUUUUGUAUGGGGAUAAAGUCAAUCACGUGUGAUUGUUUGCAGGUACCAUACGAAUAAGGACCGGCUAAUUCCGUGCCAGCAGCCGCGGUAAUACGGAAGGUCCGGGCGUUAUCCGGAUUUAUUGGGUUUAAAGGGAGCGUAGGCCGGAGAUUAAGUGUGUUGUGAAAUGUAGACGCUCAACGUCUGACUUGCAGCGCAUACUGGUUUCCUUGAGUACGCACAACGUUGGCGGAAUUCGUCGUGUAGCGGUGAAAUGCUUAGAUAUGACGAAGAACUCCGAUUGCGAAGGCAGCUGACGGGAGCGCAACUGACGCUUAAGCUCGAAGGUGCGGGUAUCGAACAGG
rnacentral:rRNA from 1 species